UACGGGGGGAGCAAGCGUUGUUCGGAUUUACUGGGCGUAAAGGGCGCGUAGGCGGCCAGCACAAGUCAGUUGUGAAAUCUCCGAGCUUAACUCGGAAAGGUCAACUGAUACUGUGCGGCUAGAGUGCGGAAGGGGCAACUGGAAUUCUUGGUGUAGCGGUGAAAUGCGUAGAUAAUCAAGAGGAACACCUGCGGCGAAGGCGGGUUGCUGGGCCGACACUGACGCUGAGGCGCGAAAGCCAGGGGAGCGAACGGG
rnacentral:rRNA from 1 species